GUAUAUUUAUGGGAAUUGCCACCGUGGAGCUUUCACUUUCUAAUCUUCUCUACAAAUUCUACUGGGAAAUGCCUGGUGGGAUGAAGAGGGAAGACAUAGACAUCGAUCAUACGCAACCCGGUAUUGCUAUGCAUACGAGGGACGCUCUCUGCCUCGUGCCUAAGGCCUAUAUAUGCUGUGAUGGGCAAUGAUGCGUAAAGGAAUUGUGGACAUCAUCAUGAAUUAGGUGCCGUUUGGCACUGCGAUGCAACUUGUUUUUUGUAAAAAUUUUUUUAAAAAAAUUUGUUAAAAUUAAGUUUAGUUUGUAUUUUUUGGAUCAUUUUGAUGUGCUGAUAGCAAAAAUAAUUUUUAAAAAAUAAAAAAAUAUUAUUGGCAUACUUUUCGACACGAAAAGCUAUUUGAAAAGCAACUGCUACCACACUCCCAAACACCCUCUAAAACACGAAGCUGCCCAUGAUCAGUAGUUUUUUUGUUUUUUAAGGUUUGCGCGUUGUGUGUAAUAAUAAGAAUAAACGACGGGGCUUAAUAUGAAGAUUGGCCUCGAAUAAUUUUCACGCAAGCUCCGUUAAAUUUUUUCUCCCUGUUCCCCUGCUACUCUCUGCCUUUUAAAAGGCUAGAGAGCUUUAACAACCAUUACCCCACGAACGGAAUCGUGGUCCACGAUUUACUGCAGAUUUCCUGUUGAAUCGAUUUUCUUCGUGCGAAACGGAAGGGAUGAAGAACAAAGCUUCCAAACGGCGCCGUUUGUAUCCUUGAGGUUAUUUUUCACUUUGAUCCCUGAACGUUUUAAACUUAACAAUUGGGAUCUUAAUCAGGAAUAAUCAAUUUCUAAUUGUGCCAUUGGAUUAAUUUCAAUUGAACCCUCAGUUAUAGUGCCAUUUACACAACAAUCUUGGGUUUCUGGACUAUUCAAUUUAGUUCUUGGACUUUAAUUUUCUAGCAAUUUUUCUUUGAAUAAGCUCCAAACUUUGGUAUUUUUUCAAUUAAACCCCUGAUUCCUUUAAUUAAGUCUUCAAACUCAUCAAUUAUUCAAUUAAACUCUUGAUUUCAUUAAUUAAAAUAAUCUAAAUUUUAAUUAAAUCUAUUCUCCAAUUAAACCCUUGAUUUAAUUAAUUAAACUAGUCAAUAGUUUAAUUAAAUCUUUAAACUUUCAAUCAUGUUGUCUUUAACCAAAUUUUAAUUCAUUCUUCAUUUAUUUUAUUUUUACUUGUUUUUCAUUAUUUUUUUAAAAAUAAAAUAAUUAAAAAAAAGGUCAAAAAUUGAGUUAUGACAGUUACUCACUCUUUAUAAUAUUUACUAUACAAAGACAUUGGAAAUUUUUUAUUUUCUUUAGCUUUGUGUAGUAAAUUUAUAAAGAAAAGUAGAUAUGAAAAGGAGUUUUGAAAACUUCGAAAACAGUAGAUUGACAUGAUUUUUACGGAAAGAACAUGCCAUUUUUUUUUUGUUUUUUUUUUAUAUAUAAAAUGGAUUAAAUUGUUUUAAAUAACCUACCCGAUGAUAAAAAAACCGUGAAUAAUUUUAUGAGUAGUUUAAUUGUUCCAUACGACCGGUAUUACUAUGAAUACAAGGGACGCUCUCUGCCUCGUGCCUAAGGCCUAUGCUGUGAUGGGCAAUGAUGCGCCGCCCAUGAUCAGUAGUUUUUUGUUUUUCAAGGUUUGCAUGCUGUGUGUACUGAUUAGAAUUAACGACGGAGCUUAAUAUGAUUAGAAUAAUUUUCACGCAAGCUCCGUUAAAUUUUUAAGCAGCCCAUGCUUAAUCUAAUAAUGGAUCUUUCAUUAAUACAUGUCUGGAUUAUGCUCCAUUCUUUAUUUUAGCAAGCCCGUAUUGAACAAAUUAAUGGAAAUAGCUAAUAAUCAUGAGCUCCGGUGCCUUUAUGCCCCAUUUUCCCAUCACACACAAGCUUAGGCACAAGGCAGAGAGCCUCCCUCAUAUGAGGAACAAGACCGGGAAGCACAUCAUCCAUGUCUAUAUCUUCCACCCCGGUUGGCAUUUCCCAGUCAAAUUUAUGAAGAAGAUUCGCAAGUGAAAGCUCCACAGUGGCGAGUGCAAGAAAUAUCCCAGGACAAAUUCUUCGACCAGCACCAAAUGGUAUGAGCUCAAAAUCAUUUCCUCUCACAUCAAUGGAACUGCCCAAGAAUCUAUCAGGAUCGAACUCGUAUGGGUUCUCCCAAGCUUCCGGGUCCCUUCCAACAGCCCAAGCACUCACGUAAACUAAGGUCUUGGCUGGUAUUUCGUACCCUCCUACGGAACACUCCUUCGUUGUUUCUCUUGGGAUCAGUAGAGGUGCUGCUGGUUGCAAUCUCAUGGUCUCUUUAACCACAGCUUUCAGGUAAGGCAAUUGUUGAACAUCAUCUUCAUGCACAAAACCUUUAUUUCCAAAUAAAUUUCUAACUUCUUCUUGAGCUUUUCGCAUUGCUUUAGGAUUCUUCAUUAGAAAGGUCAUGGCCCAAUUCACAGUAACUGCACUUGUGUCUGUCCCCGCAACAAAUAUGUCCUGCAAGGACGCAAAAGAAAUUUAAAUUGAGAAUAAUACUACAAAAAUAUAUACCAUUUUUUUCUGUAUUAUUUACUGAGAACUAGAUAUACACAAAGAUUAUUAAACCUUGCUGGGCUUAAUCAAUUAAAAUAAUAUUAUUUUAAAUUAUUUUAAAUUCAAUAUAUUUUAAUAAAGCUGAUCAAAUUCUAAAUUGAAUUGUCAAGUAGUUUAAUUUGACCAAGUCAAUUAUCACUUGAAUUUUUUAAAAUUCAACUUAACUACAUCUUAGAUUAACCUAGCAGGCCUGACCAAGUUAAUACAAGCUCGAGUUUCUUUUUCAAUCGGCCAUCUACUUGGUUUUAAAAUACAAAUUAACGAAUUAAACCUCACUUAGCUUUAUCAAUUAAAAUAAUAAUAUUUUUUAAUUAUUUUAAGUUUAAUAUACCUUAAUAAAGCUGAUCAAAUUCUAAAUUGAAUUGUCAAGUAAGUCAAUUAUCACUCAAUUUUUUUUUAAAAAAUUCAACUUAACAAGAUCUUAGAUAAAAUUAACAGCCUGACCAAGUUAGUACAAGCUCGAGUUUCUUUUUUAAUCAGCGGUCUAUUUAGUUUUAGGAUACGCAUCAACAAAUUAUUAUUCUUUUUCCUCACCAAAAUAUUCUCUCCCUCAUUUAAAUUUAAAUUGAAUCUAAAUCUCGGACUUGGAAAUUCGAACAUUGUACUGAAUAAUAGCUAUAUAUCACUUGGAAUUGAGAAUAAAGAAAAGUAAUGAACAUUGAAUACAAGAUGAAAUUACUUGAGUUUAGAAAUUAUUAGAUUACCGUUAGAAUUGCUUUGAUGUGAUCCAGGGUUAGCUGAACUUUAAAUGAGCCAUCCUUGUAUAUCUGAAGCAAAAAAUCAAGUAUAGUAUCCUCUCUCUCGGGCUUAGGUCUAUUUGGAUCAAGAUUGUCAUCAAUGAUUCUUUUGUAGAAAGCAUCAAAUUCCUUGAAACUCUUUUCCAGACGAUAGGACAGUCCGGUUAGUUUAUCGACGAGCCAGCCCAGGCAAGGAAAAUAAUCCGAAAGGAAAAAGCUUGAAGCCAUAGCCUGGAUUUCGUGAAGCAGCUCUGGGAACCUAUUUUUAUCGCUUCCUCCAAUUUCAUACCUUUUUCCAAAGGCAACUCUGCAUAUUGUUGUGCUUGUGAGAGACACCAUUUCUUCAGUCAAGUUGAAUGGUUUAGAAGCAAGAGCUGAUCUGGAUAUGUUUUCAAUCAUACGAGAAACCUCAUCUUCUCUAAUGGGACGGAAACUUUGUGCUCGAAUUGAGCUAAAGACAUGAACGACACAUAUUUUUUUCAACUCCCUCCAAUAAGCUCCAUAUGGUGCCACAGCCAAGUCUAAGCCAUUGUAGGAAAUUUUUUGCAUGCCAGUCAAGGCAGGCCUACUACAGAAUUCGAGGUCAUGAGUUUUCAAUAUCUCUCUAGCCAUUUUGGCUGAAGAGACUAUGAGGGCUGGCUUGAAGCCUAGCCUCAAGUACAUGAGGGGGCCAUGUUUUUGAGAGAGUUUCCAUAGAUACUGAUGAAGGUUGGAAUUGCCAAGCUGGUGUAAGUUACCGAUGAAGGGAAGACCAUCAGGACCAGGAGGCAAACAGGCCUUUUUAGUGGUUUUGUUUCUCUUGAUCAGAAGAAACAAGAGGAAAACGGGGAGAGAUAGAAUUAGGAAGUCGGAUAAAGCCAUUGUGAUUGAUCUAUGUUCUUUCAAUCACCAUAACAAAAGCUAAGAUACCUCACAGAUUCAUUAUGUACACUCUUACGUGGUUGUGGAUUUCUAUAAUGAAAUUAGUAUUUUGUUUUUAAUUGGCAAAAACAUUUAAUUUUGUUUUAAGGACACGAAAAUCUUUUCCAUAAAAUUUAUUAGUCAUUACAAUAAUAAUUAAGGUUAAAUAACUUUUUUAUAUUUUCAUUACACAGUAUAAUUAUUUUAUUACUCUUUAAAAAAAACAUUAAAUUUUAUUCGAGGGACAUUUUAGUUUUUGACUUAAUUUUCAAUCAUUUAAGUUAUUUCAUCUCCCUUGGAGUUUCAAAGGCUCUGUCUUUGAUUUAGGGGUUUUGUAGUCUUUUACAUUUGAUUAUUUAAUAGUUAUUAAGUGUAAUUAAUUAGGGGCAGCAGGGUGAGCAAAUUAAAAAAAAUAAAUUUGGAAUCAUAUGAACAAUAUCUGUCAAGUUCAGAUUGUAUAUGCGACGCUAUCAUGUGGCCAAAACCUUGCUUCUAAGGCAAUAGUCGGAGAGUCUCAGCAUCCCCCUCUACAUACAAGCAACUCGUGUGCCAAAAUAAUUACCGGUUUGACAUGUGUAACCUCUUAUUUUCUUGUUUUUUUUCUUUUCUCGUACUCGAUUUUCAUGCUAGCCUUCAAGGAAAUCAAAUCAACCCCUAGGACUUGUUAUCCUUAAAAUUAUGUCCCUAUACAAUUUAUAACAAUUUUUAUUUAUUUAAAAUAAUUUAUAAAAUUAAAUAUAUUUUUUUCAAUUUCAUUCACAAUAGAUUUUUUUAUCUAUCAAAUUUAAUUUUCAUUCUUUUAAUUACUAUUUGUUUUAUUUGAGAUAGGUUUUGAAAUUGAUCCCUUUUUUUUUUAACAAUUUCAUCCUCUAACAUUCUUUUUAUUCACUUUCUAUGGGAUUUAUAUUUCUUUUUAAAAUAACAAGGGUUGCCUCCGGUUUAUUUUUUCUGAUAUUUGUUAAAUUUAGCUUUUUUAAAAGAAAUUUUGUAUUUUAUUGAUUUCAUCCUCUGUCAUUUAAUUGACCAGAUGUUGAGCUUUUUAGUUUAGCUCAUGUCUACAAUUUAACUGGUUAUGAGUUUGAUAGAUUAACCUAGAUUUAUGAGGUUUAGCGGCUUACAAGGUUUAUUUGAGUUUGCUUGGUUUUCUUCUUCUUCUUCUUCUUUUUUUUUUUCUGGUUUCAUCUACCAACAUUUUGGUAUUCACAUUCUUUGAGAUUUUUCUGUGGUUUUGAAAGUAACUCGAUUUUUUUUUACCUUUAUUGAAUCUAGCAUUUUGAAAAAUAAUUUUAUUUUUUAAUUAAAUUAAAUUAAUUGCUUUAUAAUAAGUAUGAGAUGCUCAUUUCAUAGGGUUUUGUUUUUGUAUGUUUUUCGAGUCAUUGCUUUGAUAGCACGAGCAAUCUCUUUCUGUUUCUAAAUUCUUAGAUUUUUCUUACUCAUUUUAAAAAGUUGAUAUUGCAUGAACAUUCCUUUUUAUGUUGGUAAAAAAUUAACCCAGCCCGUAGAGUAGUGCAAGAUACACGCUCCCGCGUGCGCUCACACACUAAAAGGUCUAGGCAUUUCAAUUGUAGCAUUGAACAAUUAAAUGCCAAAACCUUUUUCACCUUGGUCAUCAAAAUUUCUGAGUAUUUCUUUUUUUUUUUUUUAAUUUUAAACUUAGUUUUUUUUAAUUUCAUCCUCCAACACUGAGUUUAAUGAUAUUUGAACUUUAUAAUUUAUUUUAAUUUUAUUUCUAUAGAGAUAUUCCAUUCUCAGUCCAAUCUGGCUUACACGCUUCACGAUUUUGUUUUUGGCAACCCACAUGCCCCAAAACAUGUCCUAUAAAGCUAGGUACCAAUUGCCUUAGUAUGCCCUGACUCUGAUGUGGGAUGUUACAAGCCAUGUUGACUUGAGUUAUUUUUCUCUUUUUUUAAUUAAUUGUUUCUUAACUUCAUCGUUCAAUAUUGGGUUGAUCGGGAACUGAGCUUUAUAACUGUUUUUUAAUUCAUUUUUUAUGAGGUUAUCACAGUUAGGUUAGCUAGGUUGACUUGUUUUUUGUUUUUUUAAUUGAAUAUUUGUUUUCUUCAAUUUAACCCUUCUACAUUGGAUUGAUUGAGAAUUAGACUCUAUAAUUUUUCUCAAUUUGCUUUAUAUGGAGUUAUCCCAGUCUUCUGACCUAAGUUUGGCAUAUUAACCCGGGUUAACUCGAGCAUUUUUUUUUGUUUUUUUUUAAUUUAAUCCUUUAACAUUUGGUUGAUUGAUAAUUGAGAUUUAUAAUUUUUUUUAUUUAAUUUCUAUGAGGUUAUCACAGUUUUAUGACCUGGAUCAUGAGUUAGGCCGGUUGACUUGAGGUUUUCUUGUCAUUUUUUUAGUUGAUUGUUUUUUUCAAUUUUAUUUUUCAAUAUUGAGUUGAUUGGGAAUUAGAUUUCAGAACUUAUUUUGGUUUGCAUUCUAUGAAGUUAUCUCAGUCUUAUAACUCAAGUCAUAGGUUUGGUCGGUUGACUCAAGUUAACUUAGGUGUUUUUUUGUGUUAAUUUUUAAUUGAUUUUUUUAUUCUAUCCUUCAACAUUGGUUUUGAAUGAGAUUGUGCUUCAUAAUUUUUCUUAAUUUACUUUUUAUAAAGUUAUUUAGGUCUUAUCAUCCGGGUUUAAUAGGUUAACCUAAGUUACUUGAACUCCGCUUUUUAGUUGAAUUUUAUUAUUGGAUACUAUGUUGAUUAAUAAUAUGAUUUAAUAUUAUUUUUUAUUUUUUCUAUAAAGUUAUUAAAGUCACAUAAUAUGGGUAAUGAAUUUAAAAGGUUAAUCCGAAUUGAUCCAAGUAGGUUUAAUGUGUUGUCAUUUCAAUAUUUUAAAAAAGAUGUUGUCUUGAUUUUUUUCGAGUCAAAUUAUAUUUUUAUUAAUCGUCUGAGUUGCUUUUAAACCUGUAAAUCAAUCAAAUCAAUCUUCAUAAAAUUUAAUUAUUUUUUUUUGUUAAAGAACACAUUGACAAAUAUUUUUUAUAUAAACAAAAUGUAAUUGAACCUAUAACAUAUCACAAACAUUAAUCUAACUAACAUACUGGCCCGCGCUCCGUGGCAGGUCAAUAACAAUUUUUUUACAAAUCUAAAAAAAAUAUUGAAAGUAUAAGGAAUAUUUUAAGUGUCUUGGGUCUAGUGGUCAUGCCAGAUCCAAGAGACUGAGUCUCUUUGUUAUAUAUUUUUUUAUUUGCUAUAAAAAAUAUAUUUAAAUUACCCUUAAAUUAUCCUAGAUAGAAAUGAUAAUUAAUUAUUUUUAUAAAUGUUUUUUAUUUUUUCUAAAAAAAAAAAUUUAAACCAUCAUUGAAGUAUUCUAAAUAAUUCUUUUUAUAAUUUUUUUAUUUAUUAUAAAAACUAUAUUUAAACUACCAUUGAAAUAUAUUUUGUUAUUAGUAAUGGAGUUUUAAAGGUUCAUGUGGUAAUUGUUUUUUGAUGAAAAAUGAUUGAAUCUGGUUUAAUAGGUCUAAAAACUUUUACCCUAAUUUUUUAAUUAUAAAUUAAUGAUGCAUUAUUUAUUUAGAUUGGUUACGCAUCGCCCAUUUAUUUAUUUAAAAAAACUUAGUACACGUCAUUUUUCUUUUUUAAAAAAACUUAGGCAUACAAGCCUAGACUUUAAAUGUUGUUAGGUAUGCUGGGCCCAAAUUUUAUGCAUCACCCAUUUAUUUAUUUUAAAAAACUUAGUACAUGCCAUUUUUAUGUUUUUAAAAAACUUAGGCAUACAAGCCUAGACUUUAAAUGUUGUUAGGUAUGCCGGGCCCAAAUUUUAAGCACCUAUGCUCAUAUCCCUUUAAGUUUUUUUCUUGAUUUUUUUUUUGCAUUUGUAAUUAGAUUGCUUUUUUAAUAAAUAAAUUUAUUAAAAUAAUAUUUACAUAAUUAUCCAAUUAUGCUAUUAUUUUUAAAUAAUAUUAGUAUCUUUUACAAUAAUAUUAACAAUUAUUUUCGAAAUAAUUAUAUAUGAACCUUGAAUAAUUAAUGUGAAUCAAAUAUUUUUAUUUUUAUUUUUUUAUUGUAAGUUUUUAUAUAUUUCUUUUUCAAAAUUAGUAUUAUUAUAUUUUUAAUACAUUAGUGUCAAAUUUAUCGAUUCAUUAUUUUUUUCUAGUUUUGUUUAGUAAAACUUGCUUUUAGAAUUAUGAUGUUUUUAUUUAAAGAACAAUGCUAUCAAAAGAAGAAGAAUGCAUCAGGAAAAGGGUUUUGAUUAAAGAGAUACGUUUUUCUUUUAUUUCAAAUCGUUAUUUUUUUUAGAUAUUUAUUUUAAUUGCUUUUCGUUUUAAUGCAAUAAGCUACAUUGCUAAAAAAAGGUAUAUUGUAAUUUUUUUUUCAAGUUUAUUAUUCUUAUAUGUUUAUAAUAUAUUCACCUUAAAACUAUUAAUUCAUUUUUUUUUUCAAUUUCUUAUUAAGAUAAGUUCUUGUUUAAAAACAAUACACAUGAUAAAAAAAAAAUGAGAGCAAAAAGAAAGAAUGAGUUAAUAAGGUACAAGGUUUUUUAAGAAAUGGUUACCUUUUUUUUCCUUAUUCUUAAUAGUUAUUUUUUUUUUUGGAUAUUGAUUUUGAUUGAUUUUAGUUUUUUAUGCAAUAAACAACAUUGCCAAAAUCAAAAAAGUUUUUGAAAAAAAAUACAUUAAUAAGGAAAAGAGAAUUCAUACUAACAUAUCACAUUUUUUUUAUAAUAUUUAAAUUAUUUUUUUUUUUGCAAAAAUCCUUUUUUAUUGCCACGUAAUCAAAUAAAAAAUUCAAGAGCAAAGCUGAAUUUGGAUACUUGUCAAUGUACUCAAUUCCUAUAUUGUCAAUUAGGUUCUUGACAGCUACAAGAAAAACGUACUUUGAAUUUGCACCCAAGUUGAUGUUAAAAGACUGACAUCAUCAAUGUCUAUAAAAUAUCUUCUUGAGAGCUGUUCAAAACCACGUAAUUUUCUUAAAAGCAUUUGAAUUUUCUUUUUCCUUGACGAGCACAUCAUCAAUGCCAUCUUCCCUCUUCACCACAGAUGGCAUCAUCAAUGUCUAUAUCUUCCCUCUUCACCACAGAUGUCUAUAUCUUCCCUCUUCACCACAGAUAUCAUUUGAAUUUUCUUCUUUUUUUUUCCUUUCAGAUCAAUAGACCUGCCCAAGAAUCUAUCAGGAUUGAACUCAUAAGCUUAUUAGUGGUAAUAAGACAGAUGCCGAUGGAGCAGAUCAAGACCAGCAACAUGGAAACAAAUCACUCCCAUGAUUACAAAACAAAAAUAGAAAGAGACGUGAAGACAUUGGUUGAGUACUAUGGAAACCAAUCAGCUGAGAAUUAGGCUAUUUAAUUUAUCCAAAUUAAGCAACCUGCACUGCUAUAUAAUAACUAGCCGCCUUUGCAGAAAGUAUUGCUGUCUAUUCACGUCUUGUUUUCCUAAGAAACAGAGAAAUCUUUUCUAACAUACUUAUCCUCUGUAAUUUUCUCUAAGGUCGAUCUUGGCUGGUAUUUCGUACCCAACUAUGUAACCAAGUGUCCAGGGCCACCUCUAGACAGCCGGGGGAUUCUUUUUGUUAUAGUCUUGUGUAUGUCGUUGAUGCAAUGAUGUUUGUGCUGGGAUGAACUAUACCAGAGCUACAUUGGAGAUCUCUCAUUUUGCUGCGAGGUUGGCAUAUGGCUAAAACUCGCCUUGUUUGAGCACAGAGCCGCCAUCCAUCACGAGGAGCAUAACUAUAUUAAGUAAAAUAUUUUAGUCCACGAAGUACUUCAUUAAUAUUUUCCACCCUACGAUUUUAAAUAAAGAAAAGGUGUGUCUCCUUCUUUUUUCUCACAAUGCAACAUUAUAUAAUAAAUUUACUUAACAUUUCAUAAUUACCCAAGAGAUCCAAUCUGAUAGCCAUGCCACAAUCAAGAGAUUGAGUCUCUUUGCUAUAUAUUUUUUUAUUUGUUAUAAAAAAAUAUUUAAAUUACUCUUAAAAUAUCUUAAACAGAAAUGAUAAUUAAUUAAUUUUAUAAAUGUUUUUUAUUUUUUUAUAAAAAAACUUUGAAACUAUCCUUGAAGAUCCUAAAUAAUUCUUUUUAUAAUUUGUUUUUAUUUUUUAUAAAAUAUAUAUUUAAACUACCAUUGAAAUAUAUUUUGUUAUUAGAAAUGGAGUUUUAGAGGUUCAUGUGAUAUUUUUUUGAUGAAAAAUGAUUGAGUGUGGAUUUUUAGGUCUAUAAACUUUUACCUUAAUUUUCUAGUUAUAAAUGAAUGAUGUGUUGUUUAUUUAGAUUGAUGACGCAUUAUUAAUUUAAUUAUUUUAAAAAAAUAGUACAUCUUAUUUUUCUCUUCUUUUUUUUUUUUCUAAAAAAGCCUAGGCAUACAAGCCUAGACUUUAAAUGUUGCUAGGCAUAUGGGCCCAAAUUUUAAGCACCUAUGUUCGUAUCCCUUUAAGUAUAUUUCUUGGUUUUUUUUUUUUUUGCAUUUUGUAAUUAGAUUGUUUUUUUAAUAAAUAAAUUUAUUAAAAUAAUAUUUACAUAAUUAUCCAAUUAUGCUAUUAUUUUUAAAUAAUAUUAGUAUCUUUUACGAUAAUAUUAACAAUUAGUUUUGAAAUAAUUAUACAUGAACCUUGAAUAAUUAAUGUGAAUCAAAUAUUUUCAUUUUUAUUUUGUUAUUGUGAGUUUUAAUAUAUUUCUUUUUCAAAAUUAGUAUUAUUAUAUUUUUAAUACAUUAGUGUCAAAUUUAUAGAUUCAUUAUUUUUUCUAGUUUUGUUUUAGGAAAACUUGCUUUUAAGAUUAUGAUGUUUUUAUUUAAAGAACAAUGCUUUUGAUAAAAAAAAAAAAUACAUCGAAAGAAGAAGAAUGCAUUAGGAAAAGGGUUUUGAUCAAAGAGAUACGUUUUUUUUUAAUUUCAAAUCGUUAAUUGUUUUUAGAUAUUUAUUUUAAUUGCUUUUAGUUUUAAUGCAAUAAGCUACAUGGCUAAAAAAAGGUAUAUUGUAAUUUUUUUUUUCAAGUUUAUUAUUCUUAUAUGUUUAUAAUAUUUUCACAUUAAAACUAUUAAUUCAUUAUUUUUUUUUCAAUUUCUUAUUAAGAUAAGUUCUUGUUUAAAAACAAUACAUGUGAUAAAAAAAAUGAAAACAAAAGGAAAGAAAUGAGUUAAUAAGGUACAAGGUUUUUUAAGAAAUGGUAACCUUUUUUUCCUUAUUCUUAAUAGUUAUUUUUUUUUAAUAUUGAUUAUGAUUGAUUUUAUUUUUUUAUGCAAUAAACAACAUUGCCAAAAACAAUAUUUUUUUUUAAAAAAAAAAUACAUUAACAAGGAAAAGAUAAUUCAUACUAACAUAUCACAUUUUUUAUAAUAUUUAAAUUAUUAUUUUUUUACAAAAAUCCUUUUUUAUUGCCACGUAAUCAAACAAAAAUCCUUUGAAUUCGGAUACUUGUCAAUGUACUCAAUUCCUAUUUUGUCAAUUAGCUUCUUGACAGCAACAAGAAAAACGUACUUUGAAUUUGGACCCAAGUUGAUGUUAAAAGACUGGCAACUAGAUGUCAGGUUUUGGAUCUAUGCAGAAUGCAGUUGCUGAGUGGGCCAUUUUUGUUUUGGACAAGAUGAUUGGUGGUUUUUCUGUUCAAAAUGUUGACUUUAAAGAACAACGCAUGGUGGAUGAUUGGUGGUUUCGAAAAUGAUGGUGAGAAGUUUGAACACCAAAAGUUAAAUCAUCAACCACAUAAUUUUCUUAAAAGCAUUUGAUUUUUUUUUUUCUUGACGAGCACAUCAUCAAUGUUGUUUAUCUUCCCUGUUCACCACAGAUGGCAUUUGAUUUUUAUUUUUUUUUGCCUUUCAGAUUAAUUGAACUGCCCAAGAAUCUAUCAGGAUUGAACUCAUACGGGUUCUCCCAAGCUUCCGGGUCCCUUCCAAUAGCCCAAGCAUUCACGUAAACUUAUAAAUGGUAAUAAGACAAAUGCCGAUGGAGCAGAUCAAGACCAGCAACAUGGAAACAAAUCACUCCCAUGAUAACAAAACAAAAAUAGAAAGAGACGUGAAGACAUUGUAUGUCUUGUGUAUGUCGUUGAUGCAAUGAUGUUUGUGCUGGGAUGAACUACUAGAGUUAGGGGUGUGCAAAAAAACUGGAAAAUCGAAUAAACCGAGAAAACCGAGAAAAAAUUAACUGAAAAAACCGAACCGAGAAAAAAAACCGAUUAGAAUAGUUAGGAAAAAUCCCGGUUCGGUUCGGUUUUCGAUUUUGUAAUGCAGGAACCGGUUAACCCGGACCGAAACCAGGUUAACCGGUUAAAAAAAAAGACACUAUAAAUAGAAAAAUUACCCCCCUCUUAACCCUAGCCGCAAUCCCCUCUCACUUUCUCUCCAGCAGCCCCCUCUCCCUAAGAAGUGGUAUGUCUGGUCGUGGUUUGAAUUUUCAAUCUAAAACAAUGAAUCUAGAGUCAGCAAGCGAGAUGAAGUUAGCUUCAGAUGAUUGUUAAGCUCCACGUCUCUGAAAUUCUUGAAUGCGAAAAAGUAUUGUUAAGCUCCACGUCUCCAGAUGCAAAGUGUAGGUACUUGAUGCGUGCAAUUGUAACUUGCAAUGUGUUUUUCAUCACUUGCGUACUCCAUGCCAGGCUCGCAAGGAUCACCAAAAUGAACGAGGUGUCUAUCACAGUUCCAACAGCAGUGGCUCCGCCAAUCCCAGAUACCAAGAAACAGGAAUACAAAUUGCUUAGGAUUAUUGAGAGGUUGAUUAAUGUGGUGGUCUUAGUAGGAGGGGAAGCAGCAGUAACGGACAAAACCUUGGUGGCAUAAUCGAAUCGAGAAUUCACCCAGCAAGCAUAAAGGGAUAGAAUCAGGGCAAGAACUAUAGUAUAUAGGUUUUCUUGGUUUUUUGAAAUCAAGAACCGAACCGGACUGGACCGAAACCGGUCGGUUUGACUCGGUUUCGGUUUUUUUUUUUAAAAAAAAAGAGAACCGGUUUGGUUGUUUUUUCCAGUUCAAAACCGAACCGAACCGAAAAUGCUCACCCCUAACUAGAGCUACAUUGGAUCAGAUCUCUCAUUCUGGAUGCAUGAAAAUAAGCAAUGAGAGCUUUGAAUUUAGUGUUAACCGGAAAGUGUGUUUCGUUUACUAAAAAAUAUUUUUUGUUGAUCGGAAAGAGUUUUUCGUUGAUCAACUUUUCUAAUGACAAACAAACACAGGAAAAUUUAGAAAAUGAUUUCCCGGAAACUACUUUCCAAGAAACAAACAUGGUUCAAGUUUAAUAGAGAUCUUUGUAGUUGCGCCAAUCAUUUUUUUAAAAAAAAUCAGUAGUAAUUAUGGUUCAAACUAUUUUUUAUAUGGAAAUUAUUUUUGUUAAGCCUUGUUCACCAAAAUUUAGGCAAAUCCAUUAAAUAUAUAUAUUCAUGCGAUAUUCCAUUUCCAAUUUGAUUUGGACACUCCUCCUUUUCCUCCUCAUCGAUCAUUUACAUUGAUAGUAAUGCAUUCGUGUCUCUUCGUAACUCAAUCUGUUGAAGUACACAAAUCACUCUUUAUUGAACAGCCCUAGAAAAUGCACAAGGCUCAUCAAAUACGCAAUAAUCAUGUUAUAUAUGGAUCAAUUUCGAACACGGGCUAUUGUUAUUAUAAUUGCUGAGGAAAAAUUUCAAGUCAAAACAUGAAGUAAAUAUUUUCAAUUAAAUAGGUGCAUAUAUACAAAUAAAAUGUUAGAAAUGAAAUUUAAUAUGAUAAAAAUUUAUUUCCAUAAAUAUUCUUUUUUGUCUAUUGCACCGGAGUGUAACUGGGCUGUGUUUUUUUAAUUUAUAAUAUUUUUUUUAAAAAAAAUUUAAAAUUAUUUUUUAAUAUAUUUUUAGAUGAUAUAGAUAUUAAAAUAUAAUAAUAAUAAUAAUAAUAAUAAUAAUAUUUUAAUAUAUUUUUAAAUAAAAAAUAUUUAAAAAAUACGCUGCAUGCACCCGCGUGCAAACGCUCUAUAAAAUUGAAGCUUGUAUCGCAGAAUUCACAGCUCAAAAAUACUCAGAUCAUAAUGGCAUUACUCAUAUUCGUAAUUCUCUUCCUCUCCAUCAUUUUCUUGUUUCUUCUCAAGAAAAACAAAAUCUCUAAAAGAGCUCGUUUCCCUCCUGGCCCCAACGGUCUUCCCUUGAUAGGUAACUUGCACCAGCUUGAUAGCUCAAACCUUCAAACGCAUUUAUGGAAACUAUCUCAAAAAUAUGGCCCCCUCAUGUCCUUAAAGCUAGGUUUCAAGCGAACCCUCGUAGUCUCUUCAGCCAAAAUGGCUGAAGAGGUACUGAAAACCCAUGAUCUUGAAUUUUGUAGCAGGCCUCUCUUGACUGGCCAGCAAAAAUUUUCCUACAAUGGUUUAGACUUGGCCUUUUCACCAUAUGGUGCUUAUUGGAGGGAGAUGAAAAAAAUAUGUGUCGUUCAUCUCCUCAACUCGACACGAGUGCAAAGUUUUCGUACCAACAGAGAAGAUGAGGUAUCGCAUAUGAUUGAAAAAAUUUCCAAAGCAGCUCUUGCUUCUAAACCCUUCAACUUGACUGAAGCAAUGCUGUCUCUUACAAGCACAGCCAUAUGCAGAACUGCCUUUGGAAAAAGGUACGAGGAUGGAGGAAUUGAAGGAAGUAGGUUCCAUGCGUUGCUUAAGGAAACCCAAGCCCUGUUUACGAUGUUUUAUCUUUCUGAUUAUUUUCCAUACAUGGGAUGGGUUGAUAGACUCACGGGACUUGCCCAUCGUCUUGAAAAAAAUUUCAGAGAGUUUGAUGUUUUCUACCAAGAAAUCAUUGAUGAACAUCUUGAUCCAGAGCGACCAAAGCCCGACCAUGAGGACAUACUUGACGUUUUGCUUCAAAUAUACAAGGAUCGCACUUUUAAAGUUCAACUAACGUUUGAUCACAUCAAAGCAAUUCUAAUGGUAAUCUAAGUUCGACUCAAAUUCGGCCUUUUAAUUUUCAUUUCCCUAGCAAAAUGAUAUGGAUUUGAAUAUUGUAAAUGGUUUCAAAUAUCAUCCUUAAAUUUUAUUUUAUUUUAUUUUCCUGAUCCUUGCAGGACAUAUUUGUUGCUGGGACUGAUACAGCUGCUGCUACUGUGAUUUGGGCCAUGAGCCUUCUAAUGAAAAACCCUGAAGCAAUGAGAAAAGCUCAAGAAGAAGUUCGAAAGGUGAUAGGAGAUAAAGGUUUUGUGUUCGAAGAUGAUGUUAACAAUUGCCCUACCUUAAAGCUGUGGUUAAAGAGACCAUGAGAUUGCAACCAACAGCACCACUACUAAUCCCAAGAGAAACAACGACGGAGUGUAACAUAGGUGGGUACGAAAUACCAGCCAAGACCUUAGUUUACGUGAAUGCGUGGGCUAUUGGAAGGGACACAGAAGCUUGGGAGAACCCAUAUGUGUUCGAUCCUGAAAGGUUCUUGGGCAGUUCUAUUGAUCUUAAAGGAAAUGAUUUUGAGCUCAUACCGUUUGGUGCUGGUCGAAGAAUUUGUCCAGGGAUAUUUAUGGGAAUUGCCACCGUGGAGCUUUCACUUUCUAAUCUUCUCUACAAAUUCGACUGGGAAAUGCCUGGUGGGAUGAAGAGGGAAGACAUAGACAUCGAUCAUACGCAACCCGGUCUUGCUAUGCAUACGAGGGACGCUCUCUGCCUCGUGCCUAAGGCCUAUGCUGUGAUGGGCAAUGAUGCGUAAAGGAAUUGUGGACAUCAUCAUGAAAUCGUGACUCUAUGAAUAAAACACGAAGCCGUCCAUGAUCAGUAGUUUUUUUGUUUUUUAAGGUUUGCGCGCGUGUGUAAUAAUAAGAAUAAACGACGGAGCUUAAUAUGAAGAUUGACCUCAAAUAAUUUUCACGCAAGCUCCGUUAAAUUUUUAAGGUUCUUUGUACCCUUUUGUUUUACAUUAGAGUUCAUUAUGGCUUGAAUUA
rnacentral:lncRNA from 1 species